rnacentral:rRNA from 1 species
UACAGAGGUGGCAAGCGUUGUUCGGAAUUACUGGGCGUAAAGGGCGCGUAGGCGGUCUUGUAAGUCUCGUGUGAAAUCCCUCGGCUUAACUGAGGAACUGCACGGGAUACUGCUUGACUUGAGUUCGGGGAGAGGGAAGCGGAAUUCCGGGUGUAGCGGUGAAAUGCGUAGAUAUCCGGAGAACACCGGUGGCGAAGGCGGCUCCUGGACCGACACUGACGCUGAGGCGCGAAAGCUAGGGGAGCAAACGGG